CGUAUGCAACUUACCUUAAACUGGGGCAUAACGCUGAGAAAUCGGUGCUAAUUCCCCAUAACACCACGAAACGGCAUCGUUUUGUGAUUAAAGCUCCGGCGGUUUAAGAUGGGCAUGCGCGACAUUAGGUAGUUGGUAAGGUAACGGCUUACCAAGCCUACGAUGUCUAGGGGUUCUGAGAGGAUUAUCCCCCACACUGGUACUGAGACACGGACCAGACUCCUACGGGAGGCAGCAGUAGGGAAUAUUGGGCAAUGGACGCAAGUCUGACCCAGCCAUGCCGCGUGCAGGAUGAAGGCCCUAGUGGUUGUAAACUGCUUUUGUACGGGAAAAAACCCCCCGACGUGUCGGGGGUUGAUGGUACUGUAAGAAUAAGGAUCGGCUAACUCCGUGCCAGCAGCCGCGGUAAUACGGAGGAUCCAAGCGUUAUCCGGAUUUAUUGGGUUUAAAGGGUGCGUAGGCGGAUUUGUAAGUCAGUGGUGAAAUCCUACAGCUUAACUGUAGAACUGCCAUAGAUACUGCAAGUCUUGAGUACAGUUGGCGUGGAUGGAACGUGCCAUGUAGCGGUGAAAUGCUUAGAUAUGACACAGAACACCGAUCGCGAAGGCAGUUCACGAAACUGUAACUGACGCUGAGGCACGAAAGCGUGGGGAUCAAACAGGAUUAGAUACCCUGGUAGUCCACGCCCUAAACUAUGAUUACUCGAUGUUGGCGAUACACAGUCAGCGUCUAAGCGAAAGCAUUAAGUAAUCCACCUGGGGAGUACGAUCGCAAGGUUGAAACUCAAAGGAAUUGACGGGGGCCCGCACAAGCGGAGGAGCAUGUGGUUUAAUUCGAUGAUACGCGAGGAACCUUACCAGGGCUAGAACGUAAGAUGACUUAUUGUGAAAGCAGUAUUUCCCGCAAGGGACAUUUUACGAGGUGCUGCAUGGUUGUCGUCAGCUCGUGCCGUGAGGUGUCGGAUUAAGUUCCAUAACGAGCGCAACCCCUAUCUUUAGUUGCCAUCAGGUAAUGCUGGGAACUCUAAAGAAACUGCCUACGUAAGUAGUGAGGAAGGUGGGGAUGACGUCAAAUCAGCACGGCCCUUACGUCCUGGGCUACACACGUGCUACAAUGGCCGGUACAGUGGGCAGCUACCUGGUGACAGGAUGCUAAUCUCCAAAACCGGUCUCAGUUCGGAUCGAAGUCUGCAACUCGACUUCGUGAAGUUGGAUUCGCUAGUAAUCGGAUAUCAGCAAUGAUCCGGUGAAUACGUUCCCGGGCCUUGUACACACCGCCCGUCAAGCCAUGGGAGUUGGGGGUACCUAAAGUCCGUCACCGCAAGGAACGGCCUAGGGUAAAACCGAUGACUGGGGCUAAGUCGUAACAAGGUA
rnacentral:rRNA from 1 species